AAUUUUCAAUCUCCAUGGUUUUUUCUUUAAACUCAUGAAGACUGGAUAAUUGAGAGUUGCUAGAUUGUUUUAAAUUUAGCUCUCUUCAAAAAUAUUAGCAGAGUCAUUACUGAUUAUCAAUGGUAUAAUAAAUAAUCUAUACUAUUGGAACCAGAUAACAUUGUCUUUGCUUAUAAUUGUCUUUCAAAGACACUUGACUU
rnacentral:misc_RNA from 1 species